rnacentral:rRNA from 1 species
UCUAGCAUGGCUAAAAUUCUAACUUUGAACCGUUAUCCGGUCGAAGAACAGUUUCAGGUGGGCAGUUUGACUGGGGCGGUCGCCUCCUAAAAGGUAACGGAGGCGUGCAAAGGUUCCCUCAGGCUGGUCGGACAUCAGUCGUAGAGUGUAAAGGCAUAAGGGAGCUUGACUGCGAGACAUACAAGUCGAGCAGAGACGAAAGUCGGCCUUAGUGAUCCGACGGUUCCGAGUGGAAGGGCCGUCGCUCAACGGAUAAAAGUUACUCUAGGGAUAACA